rnacentral:tRNA from 1 species
GGAGGUGUGGCUCAAGUGGUAGAGUGUUUGCCUAAUAAGCUCAAGGCCCUGAGUUCAAUUCCCAGUAAUGUCA